rnacentral:lncRNA from 1 species
CAACUUUAUAUAUAACUAAUAUAGUACAAAGGUGUAGAUUAAAAAAUACACCACUCCAGGCCCUUUUGUUUUCCACGUAAUCAAUAUUGCCAAUAAUUAAGAAGUUCCGGGUCGAGUCCGCUACCGAUACCAAUAGUAUAUUCACCUGUUACCUAUUACCGUAUCUGUACGUUCCGCAUCUGACAGGGGCACCACCAAACGUUGUAUUCAGGACUAAUAUGCUAUAUACACGGGUCAUAACCACAGGG